ACGCGCGGAACCUUACCAGGUCUUGACAUCCCUCUGAUCGGUAUAGAGAUAUACCUUUCCUUCGGGACAGAGUGACAGGUGGUGCAUGGUUGUCGUCAGCUCGUGUCGUGAGAUGUUGGGUUAAGUCCCGCAACGAGCGCAACCCUUGAUCUUAGUUGCCAGCAUUAAGUUGGGCACUCUAAGGUGACUGCCGGUGACAAACCGGAGGAAGGUGGGGAUGACGUCAAAUCAUCAUGCCCCUUAUGACCUGGGCUACACACGUGCUACAAUGGAUGGUACAAAGGGCAGCAAAACCGCGAGGUCGAGCAAAUCCCAUAAAACCAUUCUCAGUUCGGAUUGUAGGCUGCAACUCGCCUACAUGAAGCUGGAAUCGCUAGUAAUCGCGGAUCAGCAUGCCGCGGUGAAUACGUUCCCGGGCCUUGCACUCACCGCCCGU
rnacentral:rRNA from 1 species